GUGCGGAAUAUUGGACAAUGGGCGCAAGCCUGAUCCAGCCAUGCCGCGUGCAGGAAGACGCAUCUAUGGUGUGUAAACUGCUUUUGUACGGGAAGAAACACUCACUCGUGAGGGAGCUUGACGGUACCGUAAGAAUCAGGAUCGGAUAACUCCGUGCCAGCAGCCGCGGUAAUACGGAGGAUCCAAGCGUUAUCCGGAAUCAUUGGGUUUAAAGGGUCCGUAGGCGGUUUAAUAAGUCAGUGGUGAAAGCCCAUCGCUCAACGAUGUAACGGCCAUUGAUACUGUUAGACCUGAAUUACAAGGAAGUAACUAGAAUAUGUAGUGUAGCGGUGAAAUGCUUAGAUAAUACAUGGAAUACCAAUUUCGAAGGCAGGUUACUACUUGUGGAUUGACGCUGAUGGACGAAAGCGUGGGGAGCGAACAGGAUUAGAUACCCUGGUAGUCC
rnacentral:rRNA from 1 species